rnacentral:rRNA from 1 species
GUCCACGCCGUAAACUAUGAAUACUAGCCGCUUGGCGCAUAAAAGUGCUGGGUGGCGUAGCUAACGCAAUAAGUAUUCCGCCUGGGGAGUACGGCCGCAAGGUUAAAACUCAAAGGAAUUGACGGGGGCCCGCACAAGCGGUGGAGCAUGUGGUUUAAUUCGAUGCAACGCGAAGAACCUUACCUACUCUUGACAUCCUUGGAAGCUCGUAGAGAUAUGAGUGUGCCGAAAGGAACCAAGUGACAGGUGCUGCAUGGCUGUCGU